rnacentral:rRNA from 1 species
AACGAACGUUAGCGGCGCGCUUAACACAUGCAAGUCGUGCGAGAAAGGGAGCAAUCCCCGGUAAAGCGGCGCACGGGUGAGUAACACGUAGGUAACGUGCCCCCAGGUGGUGGAUAACCUUCCGAAAGGAGGGCUAAUACAGCAUAAGACCACGGCUUCGAAAGGAGCUGAGGUCAAAGUCGGCCUCUAUUCAUAAGCUGACGCCAGGGGAUCGGCCUGCGGCCCAUCAGGUAGUUGGUAGGGUAAUGGCCUACCAAGCCUAAGACGGGUAGCUGGUCUGAGAGGAUGAUCAGCCACACUGGAACUGAGACACGGUCCAGACUCCUACGGGAGGCAGCAGUGGGGAAUCUUGCGCAAUGGGCGAAAGCCUGACGCAGCGACGCCGCGUGAGUGAUGAAGGCCUCGGUU